GACGAACGCUGGCGGCGUGCCUAAUACAUGCAAGUUGAGCGCUGAAGGUUGGUACUUGUACCAACUGGAUGAGCAGCGAACGGGUGAGUAACGCGUGGGGAAUCUGCCUUUGAGCGGGGGACAACAUUUGGAAACGAAUGCUAAUACCGCAUAAAAACUUUAAACACAAGUUUUAAGUUUGAAAGAUGCAAUUGCAUCACUCAAAGAUGAUCCCGCGUUGUAUUAGCUAGUUGGUGAGGUAAAGGCUCACCAAAGCGAUGAUACAUAGCCGACCUGAGAGGGUGAUCGGCCACAUUGGGACUGAGACACGGCCCAAACUCCUACGGGAGGCAGCAGUAGGGAAUCUUCGGCAAUGGACGAAAGUCUGACCGAGCAACGCCGCGUGAGUGAAGAAGGGUUUCGGAUCGUAAAAGUCUGUUGGUAGAGAAGAACGUUGGUGAGAGUGGAAAGCUCAUCAAGUGACGGUAACUACCCAGAAAGCGACGGCUAACUACGUG
rnacentral:rRNA from 1 species